rnacentral:rRNA from 1 species
CUGUUCGCGGCAAGCUUAAGUCGAUAGAUGUAGGCGCAGCGAAAGCGAGUCUGAACAGGGCGUUCAGUCGCGGCAGAAGACCCGAAACCGAGUGAUCUAGCCAUGGCCAGGCUGAAGGUGCGGUAACACGCACUGGAGGGCCGAACCCACGCCUGUUGAAAAAGUCGGGGAUGAGCUGUGGCUAGGGGUGAAAGGCCAAUCAAAACUCGGAGAUAGCUGGUUCUCCGCGAAAUCUAUUGAGGUAGAUCGUUAGGUGUUUACCCCGGGGGGUAGAGCACUGGAUGGGCUAGGGGGUCCCAAAGACUUACCAAACCUAACCAAACUCCGAAUACCCGGAAGUAUAGCCUGGCAGACAGACGGCGGGUGCUAAGGUCCGUCGUCGAGAGGGAAACAGCCCAGACCACCAGCUAAGGCCCCCAAAUGAUGGCUAAGUGGGAAAGGAUGUGGGGAUUCCAAAACAACCAGGAGGUUGGCUUAGAAGCAGCCAUCCUUUAAAGAAAGCGUAAUAGCUCACUGGUCUAAUAGAAACCCUGCGCCGAAAAUGUAACGGGGC